UGUAUUUGCAAUAACUCCUUUAUUUUCCUCUCCUGUAGCUGUGCCCAGUGGAGCGAGUGGCACUGAUACGAGAGAUGCAGCUACUGCCACAGAGGCACAUUUGAACUCAUCUAACCACCCAGACUCUGAAGAAAAAACUCCAGCACCAGAAUCAGGGCAACACUUUGGAAUACUGAAAGCAGAUUUUACCAUCCCAGCUCUGAUGGACCCAGAAAAUAUGAAAGACCAAUUUUUGAGUGAGAUCCAAGAAGUCUUAAAGUUUACAUUAGGUCAUGAAACAUUCAGAUUGAAAUGGAUCAGCUUUGAAGUAAACAAAAAAUAGCACAAGUCUACUGAUCUGGAGUCUCCUCACACAAUCGUCUCUGGAUUUUGAGUGAAUUUUAGUUUUUUUAAUUCCUAGUAGAUCAGAAUUAGAAAUAACUCCAAAUAUGUGAAGAGGUUAAGUGGUGGAAUUUCAGACUUAACACCUAGUACAAAAGAAAACUACACAUGGAACCUGCAUCCCUUGAUUUUACAGAAUGAAAUAGGUAAGCAGGAGAAGAUGAAAGUAUUUUGGAACAAUAACCUUGAGACUGACAAGCAGACAAGAACAAAAAACCCCAAGAACGAAACAACAAAAAUCCUGAAACAAACUCCAUUAAUCUAUCUGGGGAAUUAAGAGAGGACAGUAGUGGUCUGGGAAGCUAAGUAGGGCCAUAC